rnacentral:rRNA from 1 species
GUGGUAAAGAAAACUUAUGGGGAUUUUAUCAAAAAAACCUAUUUGAACCUUAUAAUACAUUAUUUUAAAUAAUAAUACUCAGACUAAUGGCGCAAAGGUCUUUAGUCAAGAGGGAAACAGCCCUGAUUAUAUGCUAAGGUGUGUAAUUACUGCUAAUUAAAAAGAAUUGAUUAUAAACAUCCUAAUCCUAGGUGGGCUUGGAAGCAGCCAUCCUUUAAAGAAAGUGUAACAACUCAUGAUUAGGGGAGAUUUUUAGUGAAUAAUAAAUUAUUUUUAAUUGGUUCUACGAUGUUAACAAUAAGCAGUAAACCGAAGCAAUAAAUAUAGAUGAUGCAUCUAUAUGGUAGCGGAAUGUGGUGUAUUUUUUUAGAAGAAAAGUUGUUAAACUUUUUUGGAGAAAUCACUAUUAUAUAUGCUAGUAUUAGUAACAGAUAUAAUGUGAAAACCAUUAUUGCUAUAUGUUUUAGGGUUACUUUGUAUUGAUAAUCUUUACAAAGUGUAAUACGAUUUCUAAUUUUAAAAGAUUUUUGAAUUUAUGAUGAAU